rnacentral:rRNA from 1 species
CGGUGGAGCAUGUGGCUGAAUUCGAGGCAACGCGAAGAACCUUAUCCUGGGUUGGACAUGGACGGAGUAGACUGCGGCGAAAGGGAGUUCGACGCUCUCACGAGUGGAACGUUCACAGGUGCGGCAUGGCGGUCGUCAGCUCGUGCUGUGAAGUGUCGGGUUAAGUCCCUGAACGAGCGAAACCCCUGCCGUUAGUUGCCAGCAUUCAGUUGGGGACUCUAACGGGACCGCCGGUGUCAAACCGGAGGAAGGUGGGGAUGACGUCAAGUCCUCAUGGCCUUUAUGCCCAGGGCUGCACACGUGCUACAAUGGUAUGGACAGAGCGACGCGAUACGGCGACGUGGAGCAAAUCGCACAAACCAUGCCUCAGUUCGGAUUGUAGUCUGCAACUCGACUACAUGAGGUUGGAAUCGCUAGUAAUCGCGUAUCAGCUACGACGCGGUGAAUAAGUUCCUGAGCCUUGUACACACCGCCCGUCACGUCAUGGGAGCCGGGAGUACCCGAAGUGCAGCGCCUCAGCUGUCCCUACGGUAAACUCGGUGACUGGGACGAAGU